rnacentral:rRNA from 1 species
UACGUAGGGGGCAAGCGUUGUCCGGAAUUAUUGGGCGUAAAGCGCGUGUAGGCGGCUCGGUAAGUCUGCUGUGAAAGUCCAGGGCUCAACCCUGGAACGCCGGUGGAUACUGUCGAGCUCGAGUCCGGAAGAGGCGAGUGGAAUUCCUGGUGUAGCGGUGAAAUGCGCAGAUAUCAGGAGGAACACCAAUGGCGAAGGCAGCUCGCAGGGACGGUACUGACGCUGAGACGCGAAAGCGUGGGGAGCAAACAGG